rnacentral:rRNA from 1 species
CACGGGGGGAGCAAGCGUUGUUCGGAAUCACUGGGCGUAAAGGGCGUGUAGGCGGUCAGGUAAGUGAGAUGUGAAAUGCCCCGGCUCACCCGGGGACCGGCAUCUCAUACUGCUUGGCUUGAGUACGGGAGAGGAUGUGGGAAUUCCUGGUGUAGCGGUGAAAUGCGUAGAUAUCAGGAGGAACACCGGUGGCGAAGGCGCACAUCUGGCCCGAUCCUGACGCUGAGGCGCGAAAGCUAGGGGAGCAAACGGG